rnacentral:rRNA from 1 species
ACGGAAGGCAGCAGCUAAGAAUAUUCCGCAAUGGACGAAAGUCUGACGGAGCGACGCCGCGUGGAUGAUGAAGGUCGGAAGAUUGUAAAAUCCUUUUAAGUAUGAAGAAUAAGCAUGUCAGGUAUGGGCGUGCGGUGACGGUAAUACUUGAAUAAGCAACGGCUAAUUACGUGCCAGCAGCCGCGGUAAUACGUAAGUUGCGAGCGUUGUUCGGAAUUAUUGGGCGUAAAGGGCAUGUAGGCGGAUAUGCAAGCUUGGUGUGAAAGGCGGGAGCUCAACUCCCGGACUGCGUUGAGAACUGCAUAACUAGAGUGACUGAGGGGCAGGCAGAAUUCCAGGUGUAGGGGUGAAAUCUGUAGAUAUCUGGAAGAAUACCAAUGGCGAAGGCAGCCUGCCAGCAGAUGACUGACGCUGAGGUGCGAAGGUGCGGGGAGCAAACAGGAUUAGAUACCCUGGUA